GAUGAAGAACGUAGCGAAAUGCGAUAAGUAAUGUGAAUUGCAGAAUUCAGUGAAUCGUCGAAUCUUUGAACGCACCUUGCGCCCUUUGGCCAUUCCGAAGGGCAUGCCUGUUUGAGUAUCAUGAACACCUCAACUCUUCAUGGUUUUCCGUGAUGAGCUUGGACUUUGGGGGUCUUGCUGGCCUAUGGUCAGCUCCUCUAAAAUAAAUCAGCUUGCCAGUGUUUGGUGGGUAUCACAGGUGUGAUAACUAUCUACGCUUGUGGUUUUCCACCAGGUAACCUUCAGCAGUGGAGGUUCGCUGGAGCUCACAGAUGUGUCUCUCCUCAGUGAGGACAGCUCUUUGAAUGUUUGAUCUCAAAUCAGGUAGGACUACCCGCUGAACUUAAGCAUAUCAAUAAGCGGAGGA
rnacentral:misc_RNA from 1 species